GUCCCAGACUCCUACGGGAGGCAGCAGUGGGGAAUAUUGCACAAUGGGGGAAACCCUGAUGCAGCGACGCCGCGUGAGUGAAGAAGUAUUUCGGUAUGUAAAGCUCUAUCAGCAGGGAAGAAAAUGACGGUACCUGACUAAGAAGCCCCGGCUAACUACGUGCCAGCAGCCGCGGUAAUACGUAGGGGGCAAGCGUUAUCCGGAUUUACUGGGUGUAAAGGGAGCGUAGACGGCAUGGCAAGUCAGAUGUGAAAGCCCGGGGCUCAACCCCGGGACUGCAUUUGAAACUGUCAGGCUGGAGUGCAGGAGAGGUAAGUGGAAUUCCUAGUGUAGCGGUGAAAUGCGUAGAUAUUAGGAGGAACACCAGUGGCGAAGGCGGCCUGCUGGACGACAACUGACGGUGAGGCGCGAAAGCGUGGGGAGCAAACAGGAUUAGAUACCCCAGUAU
rnacentral:rRNA from 1 species